rnacentral:rRNA from 1 species
UAACAAGGAUUCCCCUAGUAACUGCGAGUGAAGCGGGAAAAGCUCAAAUUUAAAAUCUGACAGUCUUUGGCUGUCCGAGUUGUAGUCUGGAGAAGCGUUUUCCGCGCUGGACCGUGUACAAGUCUCUUGGAACAGAGCGUCAUAGAGGGUGAGAAUCCCGUCUUUGACACGGACUACCAGUGCUUUGUGAUGCGCUCUCAAAGAGUCGAGUUGUUUGGGAAUGCAGCUCAAAAUGGGUGGUAAAUUCCAUCUAAAGCUAAAUAUUGGCGAGAGACCGAUAGCGAACAAGUACCGUGAGGGAAAGAUGAAAAGCACUUUGGAAAGAGAGUUAAACAGUACGUGAAAUUGCUGAAAGGGAAACGCUUGAAGUCAGUCGCGUCGUCUAGAACUCAACCUGGCUUUGCUUGGUGCAUUUUCUAGUUGACGGGCCAACAUCAGUUUUGACUACUGGAAAAAAGCCUUUGGAAUGUGGCACCUACGGGUGUGUUAUAGCCUUGGGUUGUAUACAGUGGUUGGGACUGAGGACCGCAGCACGCCUUAUGGCCGGGGUUCGCCCACGUACGUGCUUAGGAUGUUGGCGUAAUGGCUUUAAGCGACCCGUCUUGAAACACGGACCAAGGAGUCUAACAUGCCUGCGAGUGUUUGGGUGGAAAACCCGAGCGCGUAAUGAAAGUGAAAGUUGGGAUCCCUGUCGUGGGGAGCACCGACGCCCAUACCAGACCUUCUGUGACGGAUAUGCGGUUGAGCAUGUAUGUUGGGACCCGAAAGAUGGUGAACUAUGCCUGAAUAGGGUGAAGCCAGAGGAAACUCUGGUGGAAGCUCGUAGCGAUUCUGACGUGCAAAUCGAUCGUCAAAUUUGGGUAUAGGGGCGAAAGACUAAUCGAACCAUCUAGUAGCUGGUUCCUGCCGAA